rnacentral:rRNA from 1 species
AACGAACGCUGGCGGCAGGCUUAACACAUGCAAGUCGAGCGCAUCCUUCGGGGUGAGCGGCGGACGGGUGAGUAACGCGUGGGAACGUGCCCUCUUCUACGGAAUAGCCUCGGGAAACUGAGAGUAAUGCCGUAUACGCCCGCAAGGGGAAAGAUUUAUCGGAGGAGGAUCGGCCCGCGUUGGAUUAGGUAGUUGGUGGGGUAACGGCCUACCAAGCCGACGAUCCAUAGCUGGUUUGAGAGGAUGAUCAGCCACACUGGGACUGAGACACGGCCCAGACUCCUACGGGAGGCAGCAGUGGGGAAUCUAGGACAAUGGGGGCAACCCUGAUCCAGCCAUGCCGCGUGAUCGAUGAAGGCCUUAGGGUUGUAAAGAUCUUUCAGCUGGGAAGAUAAUGACGGUACCAGCAGAAGAAGCCCCGGCUAACUCCGUG